AGCUCCACCGGAUCGCACGCACGCGUGACGACCAGGUAGUCGCGCAGCGCGAUGCCGUGGCGGUUCUC
rnacentral:sRNA from 20 species